rnacentral:rRNA from 1 species
GAUGAACGCUGGCGGCGUGCUUAACACAUGCAAGUCGAACGGAAAGGCCCAAGCUUGCUUGGGUACUCGAGUGGCGAACGGGUGAGUAACACGUGGGUGAUCUGCCCUGCACUUCGGGAUAAGCCUGGGAAACUGGGUCUAAUACUGGAUAGGACCACUUCUUGGAUGUUGUGGUGGAAAGUUUUUUCGGUAUGGGAUGAGCUCGCGGCCUAUCAGCUUGUUGGUGGGGUAAUGGCCUACCAAGGCGUCGACGGGUAGCCGGCCUGAGAGGGUGUACGGCCACAUUGGGACUGAGAUACGGCCCAGACUCCUACGGGAGGCAGCAGUGGGGAAUAUUGCACAAUGGGCGCAAGCCUGAUGCAGCGACGCCGCGUGGGGGAUGACGGCCUUCGGGUUGUAAACUCCUUUCGCUAGGGACGAAGCGUUUUGUGACGGUACCUGGAGAAGAAGCACCGGCUAACUACGUG